rnacentral:misc_RNA from 1 species
AAAGUGCGACAAGUGUCAUGACUUGCAGAUACCCGAGAGCUGACAAAUUUCUGAAUGCAAAUUGCAGCCAAAUUAAUCUGGCUAUGUAUUGCAGAGAGUACUACGCUUAUGCGCUCCAUCCAGCGUUUUACUAUAAACACUGGGACAUGCGGUUGCGAGAAUCGUAUUAUAUAUAUAUCCACACACGAAUACGUCAAGUAUGAGUGCGUGUCCGCGACCGUGAAAGGAAGGAAAACCAUAACGUUUACCUUGGAACUAUAUAGAUUGAGAAACGGAAGAGGUCCCGGCCUCUCUCCUUAUCAAAUACUCUUCUUAACCUCUGCAAUGCAGGAGAACCCGCUGAACUUAA